AAAAUUAACCCCAUUUUCUACCACGUGGUUCGGAAAACAGAUGUUUCAAAGAAUCAGAAGUUUAUAAUUAAUUAAGAAGUUUCGUGUUUCACGUAAAAAGCUAAUGAAAUUGUAUAAACGUGAUAGAAAAUGAGGUAAGGCAAGCUCUUGAUUUUUGGCCUCUUUGGUUGCUUUACUUGAAACAAAUAAUUUACGAUUUAAGUGAGCUGUAGAUUCUUUUUCUUUUGAUUAGUUGAUGUGAAAUGUACCUAACACAAACACAAAUUAAAAUUAAGAAGGUGAUGUCAGAUGUCAAUGUUAAGGCUCAGCAUUCUCAUCAUGACUUAAUCAAGGUGUUUGAUCAGCCACAAAUAUAUAGAGGGAAAGGGAAGGAAGAAAGCACAGAAGGAACGAAGAAGCAGCAGAAAAGGGGCAGAUAUAUAGUUUGUAGAAUGAAAUAGAGCCUAAGUAUGCUUUCCUAGCAACAAAAGCAAAGCAAAUUCACGCAAUUGAAGAGUCUGAUGUCUUAAACAAGCGGCUAAUUGUAUGGGCUCGCGAUCCACGAAGAGCAGAGAUGGACACCUUACCAGCGUUUUCGAGUUUCAAUCACAAAACGGCUAAACCGUUAAAGCCUGCUAUCAUAGUCAGAAAAUAAAGCCCAAGCCAUUGGCCUCGCAACCUAUCAAUAAUUUGGAGCUAAGGAGUAUAGCUUAUAAAAUCUUCGUCACAUGCUGAUGCUACUCCAUCUUUACAACUAUUGGUGAAUUAUUGGUUACCUGGACCAUUUUGCUUGAAGUAAUGGAUUGCACCACGCAAGAGCCCACCAUGGGAACUUGGGAAGGAUAACGAAAGUGGCCUUUGCUCACAAUCCAUAUGUGGCCUUUGUUCACAAUCCAUAUAUGCUAGUAUACAAAUCCCUGCAAUAAUAACCUUAGCUAAAAAAGAACCAAAUUCAUCAAACUUACUGUUCAAUGGUGUUGCUUCAUCAUCUGUUUGCAGCAUAAAGUCAUGUAUGCUGCCUAUAUCAGUGUUGUACCAACUCCAACAACAUCAGCUCUUUCCAGCCAUCUCUUGUCCAUGGCAGGGUAAAUAAUGUUGAUAUUCAUGUGAAUCUACAUGGUUAGCUGUAUUUUUAUACAUUUUUAUAGAUAACAUAGAAUUUAAUA